rnacentral:rRNA from 1 species
AGGACUAACGCUGGCGGCGUGCCUAACACAUGCAAGUCGAACGGACACCACUUUGUAGCAAUACAGAUGAAGUGUUAGUGGCAGACGGGUGAGUAACACGUAGUCAACCUGCCUUACCGUCCGGGAUAACUAGCCGAAAGGUUAGCUAAUACCUGAUACGAUCGUCGAGCGGCAUCGCUUGACGAUGAAAGCAGCAAUGCGCGGUUAGAGGGGGCUGCGGCCCAUUAGCUAGUUGGUGAGGUAAUGGCCCACCAAGGCAACGAUGGGUAGCUGGUCUGAGAGGACGACCAGCCACACUGGGACUGAGACACGGCCCAGACUCCUACGGGAGGCAGCAGUGAGGAAUUUUCGUCAAUGGGGGCAACCCUGAACGAGCAACGCCGCGUGCAGGAAGAAGGUUUUCGGAUCGUAAACUGCUUUUCGUCGGGGAAGAGGAACGGACGGUACCCGAGGAAUCAGCCCCGGCUAACUACGUGCCAGCAGCCGC